AGCAUCAUUUCAACAAAAAAGUCAUGCUUUUCUUGAAAUUUUUUACCAGGCACAAAUGAGGUCCAUUCUGAAGAUGCAUUAGUGUUGCAUUUGCACUUGGCAUCAGGUCAGGAUAAACUGGUGGACCAGUUGCAAGGGCAGCAAGCUGAAGUUAAGCAACUUCAGAACACACUGAGAGAACAGCAAAACGCUCUACUAGCCCACCAAAGAGAAAUACUGGACCAACAACAGAUUAUGUUUGAAAAGAUGGAAGAAGUCAAGACCCAGUACAACCUUCUUCUUGACGGGGUCAAACAGUUAUCUGUGCAAGGCCCACAGGGCGUCACUGAGAGCCAUUUGGAUGGUCUCCAGUCCCAGGUUACGACCUUUUCUCAGGAGGCCUUUGCAAUGCAUAAGAUGAACAUGGAUGCUAGUGUUACAGAUGCUGACAGACCUCUACCUGGCUGUGGAUCCUGCCGAUCAGAUGAGUACUGCGACUUCAGUGCAGACCGGCCACGUUGUGAGAAAUGCACUGUUUGCCCUCCGGGAUUCUUUCUGGUGGCUCAAUGUUCCAUUCACGCUGACAGGAUUUGCCAGGACAGAGACGAAUGCCUGGAGAUACCAAACUUAUGUAAAGAACGCAACCAGUGCCUCAAUACACCAGGGGGAUUUCGGUGCUCCGGCAUGUUGGAGAGGGAAGCAGCCGCUGGGAUGUGUGGGCACUCUUAUUUUUACAGUUCAGAGAUGGAGGAGUGUCAAGCCUGUACAGAAUGUGAUUCUCAGCCAAUGACAUCCCCAUGUUCAGCCUUGAAUGAUGCCGUGUGUGCCAACCCCUCUGAAAGCAAACUCUCACUUUCUUGGUCUGGUAACGUUGACCUAGCCAAGGGUAGUGCGUUUCCUGAAAAGCAACUUCACAUCCGUGGUAACAGUGACGGAAGCCUUCUUUCCUGCACUGAUGGUUGGAUAGUGCUCCACCAGCAUGGGCUUGUUUGGGUUGACCAUAACCUUGCUUUAAAACACGGCUGCCGCAGCUUCAUUCAAGCGUGUUUACGACUGAACGCCAGUGAAGAUGAAGGUCGGGAUCUGAGUGGGAUGCGUUUGGAGCAGCGGGAGGGCAAAUCUCUCCAGAGCGCCAGUGUGAGUGGAGCAACUUCUGUGGAGCCAGGUCAUGUACUCUACCUUACUCUCAAGAGCGCCACCAACCAGUGUAGCCAAGACAGUGAAGACGUGCACCUUCAGAGCAGCCUAAUCUCACCUUUCAGCUUGCUCUGGUUGUCCCAUGACACAGGUGCAGUUGCAAUGACUGCUCAGGCCAUUGCUUCUGCACAUUACCACACCAACUACCGUCCUGCCUUCCGUACAUCAUCCAUCUCCGACCCCUACAUGGUCGGCUUGACCCAGGACAACCGAGGGGUGCGCUUCAGAGAAAGUGGCACUGUGAAGUUUGUCCUCCAGCAAGCAUUGUACUCCAUGGGUCAAGCCUGUAUCUCCGAGGGCUUCUACUUGCUUGCAUACGUGAACCACAACGGAAGCAGCGCUGAGCUGACCCGUGCAUUCAAGUCCGGCGUACACUACAGAGACACAUCUAUUUCUCUCUCAGCAGCCACCACUGUGGAUUCUGGGGAUAUGCUCACCUUUGAGAUCCUUGCACCCGCACAGUGCAAUGUGCGCUACUUCGGUGACGACUCUGGGAUUAGCAUGCUCAGUCUAGUGUGGAUCCCUUCAGCCGUGUCCACUGCCUUGUCGGCCUCUGUGUCCAGGAAAGGUCUGCCCUCUGGCGCAGUGCGGAAUAAAGCCUUGUUCUUCCAUCAGACAAGUCCGGCGGUUCCACAAGUUGCACUAGCUGGAACCAAAGAUCACAGAGACUUCAUCUUUCGGGAAGCAGGGACGGCGAGUGUGGCUUUAGAUCUGCGGCUUAUUCACUCAUGCAAUCUAAUCAAACUCACCUUGCUCCAACAGAGCGGGUCUCAGGGGGUUCAGCCAGCUCCUGUAGCUCAACAGAUUGGUGGACAUAUGCCAGAAGGAAGUGUAUGGGCAAGUGUGGGGUUGAGGGUAUCAUUUCAGGUGCGUAAUGGCACUGUGAUCUUCGCUACAGUGGACUGCGUUAGAGGGCGCAUCAACCAAAUUGCCCAUGAUGCUGAAAGUACCAUGUCUAUCCUCUGGACAGCUGCAUAAUCAUAGCAUGAAUCUGCUAGCAUUAUGUCAACCCUGUUGAAAAAACAGCAUAUGCUGGUUAGGUAUGUUUUGAUGCAUGGUAGCUGGUUUGAGCUGGUUUAAGCUGGUCCUGAUCUGGUUAUAAGUUGGUUAUGAGCAGGAGCUAGUUGCUUAGUACCAGCUCAAUACCAGCUGCCAUGCAUCAGAACCAGAGGUUGAAAGAGUACAAAAAUAUUCUACUCAAGUAAAAGUACCAUUACAUUAAUGAAAUUUUACUUAAGUACAAGUAAAAGUACCAGUCUAAAAAUCUACUCAAGUAAAAGUAAAAAGUAGCUCAUUUAAAAUUUACUCAGAGUAAAAAUUACUUAGUUACAUUUUAACAGUGGGAGGGAGGCAAAAAUGGGAC
ensembl:lncRNA